CACCUGAGAAGUAUUCCAGUUUAACAUGUUGCCACGGCAACAAUAUUUUUAGAUAUCAAUAUCCCCCCAGCAGAUUUAUAUCGGCUGUGUUUUAACAUUAUUCUGAUGAAGUUUGAAGCAAAUCGAGUAAAAAUAAGAUGCUGAAUUCAAAUCAUUUUGAAAAUGACACACUUCCUGCUGCCAGUUGGUGGCGCUAUAACUUUGACUCCUAAUAGUCACAUAUAUGCAAUCGACAUCAUACAACGAAUAAUCUGAUGCAGUUUGAUUAAAAUCAGGAAAUGUAUGUGGAUGGUAUUAGACACUUCCUGUUUCUCAUUUCUCGCCAUAAUUUCAACACCUCGCCACGAGCAAACCGUUCGAGAUAUCAAAAAUCCCCUGGCAAUUUUUCAUCCCCAAUGUCUUGAGAUCAUGUUGACCGAAUUUGGUGGCAAUCGGCAAAAAAACCUAUGACAAGUAUUUCAAAUUCCAGAGCAUGCGCUUUUUACAUAACUCUAAAUAGCUGACUUCCUGUUGGGCGGAGCCGAAUGACAUGCAGUACGAAAGUUGUUCAGCACGAUGAGCUCUAUAUGUGUACUGAGUUUCAUAUUAAUACGAGCAAGUAUGUGUGAGCUAUACAUCAACAUUUAUGACUGUGUUCCAGGGGGCGCCAUAGAGCCCCUGUGCCACGCCCGGGUCCCAGCCUCUGCAGGCUCCUAAAGGCCACAGAUUCCAAAGUGUGCGCAAAUUUUCAAGAGUUUUUGAGUAUGUUAAGGACCCCAAAAGCCCCCACAACUUUGACGAAAAAUAUGAAUACUAAACCCUAAAUAUCCAACUUCCUGUUGGGCGGAGCCUAUGACAUGCAGUACAAAAGUUGUUUGGUUUGAUGAGAUCUACAUGUGUACCGAGUUUCGUGUGUCUACGUGCAAGUAUGUAUGAUAUAUGGCCCUCAGUAUUCCAGGGGGCGCUGUAGAGCCCCUGUGCCACGCCCGUGUAUCAGUCUCUGCCCGGCCCUAAUGGCCGCAGGUUCCAAUGUGUGUGCCAAUUUUCAAGACUUUUUAAGCAUGUUAAGGGCCCCAAAAGCCCCCGAAACCUUGAAGAAAAAUAAUAAUAAUAACAAAAUAUAGCUGCAAGCAGCGAUGGCGGGCUCAAGCCACCAAUGCCAUCGCCACCCCGGUGGCAUCAGGUAAACUGUGCCCAGCGGGCACAUGCAUUCACAAUAUCCCUCUGGCAGUGACGUUUUAAAGGAUAUGGCGGUUAAAGGGUUAAUCCGAAUCAUCUAGACUUUAAAAUCACAUUCACAGAACAAUAUAUAUAUAUAUUCCCCAAACAUAUAUAUAUAUAUAUAUAUUUAGUAACACUUUACAAUAAGAUUUCAUUUAUAAACAUUAUGUUAACAUGAACAAUAUUUAUAUAGCAUUAAUUUAUGUCAGUUAAUAUUCCAAACUUAAACAUUAAAACAUUGUUUUAUUGUGAUUUUUUUCCAAGCACAUUUUACCAAUUCCAAACCAUAUCAAUCUUAAUAACUACCAUUAUUUUUUAUUUAAUCAUUUAUGAGUGCUAUACAAUAGUCCAGGAAAGCUGUAAGAGAAAAACUCCUUAUAUUCAUGUGUGCAGAAUUAUUAGGCUGUUUUCUUUUACAGAUGAAAUGCGCUAAAAAAGAGUUUUAACUCAAACUGUUUUAACUCAAAGUCGAAAAUUAUGAAAUACCCAUGAGAAAUAUCAAACACAAAUGCAAUACAGAAAUGGAUAAGUUAAGACUUGACCAUUGUACAAAAAUGCUGACUGGGUCAUGAGGUCAGAAAAGAAGAAGAAGAAAAAAAAACAGGUCAAGAAGAACUGACAAAAAUAAUUGCAAAAUAAUUAGGAAUUAAUGUGAAGAUUAAUUUUUAGUCAAUUCUGCAAGACAGACUUUCAGGAAAGGAGGUGGAAUAAAAAUGAGCUCCUAAAUCUUAAUCCCGGAUUCUGGAAGAUAUAUUCCUCAAACCAUCGGACAAGAGGAGGUGGUGCUGGUCCUUCAUGAGUCACUCUAAUCUGUUCAUAAAGCCUAUAUAUAAAGUCUUAAUAUAUAGUAUUUCACAAUACUUCAUGGUAUUCUAAUCAAAUCAUUUUUUGGAAUCUUAGAUCUCUCAGAACCUGACACCGAGUAAUUCUGAGACUCCAGGAAAGUGGCAGUUCUGUAAAAUGUUGGCGCUGGAGACUAAAUGCUCCCUGAUAGUUUCACACCUAAUUCACUUAACACACACACACACACACACAUACACACACACACACACACACACACACACAUUACCCACAGUGACAGAGGGACAG